rnacentral:lncRNA from 1 species
UUGGUAGGGAUCCGCUUGAUAAAAUUUAAACAAAAUAUAUAAGAACGCGGGGGACUUUAAUCAUCAUAUUUAAAUCAAUAACAGUGAUAUUUUAAUCACUUAAACAUAAAUGGACGGAUGAGGUCCCUGUUACUGUAUGUAUUUAUCCUAUUGCUGUAAAAAAAAAAUUGCACCAUCACUUUGCAGCAACUAAGCUAAAAUUAUGUAUUUCAUCCGUUCAUUUUUAAUUAUUUUUUUUUUAUUUUGCUCUUUCUUUAAAAAAAUAAAUGAAGUGUAUAUUUCCCUCGUUCCAUAAUAAAUGAGCAAUUUAUUUUUUUUAUUUUGGUCCAAAAUUAGUGUUCAUUUACAUAAGUAGAAUAGCAUAUGAGACACUUGUACUUGUCCCGGUUUGUCACUCCGGUCCCUACACUCCAUAAAGUUUCACCAGAUACUUCAACUUAAUCAAAACAAGACUUUUAAACAGCUCCGGAAUCGUGUGAUGCUCACUUGCUUGACGUGAAUGGCAAAUCAGCAUCCACAUCAGAUUCUAUGCCAAAAUAAUAUUAUUUAACAAAAUUUUGAUUUCAUAAACAAAAACAACAACGACCAGUAUAAUUCCACUAGUGGGGUCUGAGGAGGGUAGAGUGUACGCAGAUCUUACCCCUACCUCGCGGGGAGUAGAGAGGCUGUUUCCGAAAGACCCUAAGCUCAAGAGAACAAAAGAAGACAAAAAGAGGGAAUCUAUGAGUACCUUCAAUAAAAAUCAUAGAAUAAAGAACAACAUCAGCAAAACCAGAAAAUAAGUGAAAAGCAAAACAACAACCAGUAGAUAAAGCACAUCAAAGAGGAACGAAAAAGUAGUGUGGACUCAACAUAAAACACUAACAGUCAAAGAUCAAGUCCUAACAGACUAGCCUCACUGUACGACACCAUAGAGAUAUCCUAAACUACCUCCUAACCUACAACCUUAAUGCUCGAUCUCCACAACUUCCUUUCUCGGGCCAUGUCCUUAGUAAUCUGAAGCCUCACCAUGUCCUGUCUGAUCACCUCUCUCCAAUACUUCUUAGGCCGCCAUCUACCUAUCCUCAUGCACACCAAAGCUAGCCGCUCACACCUCCUCACCAGAGCAUCUAGGAUUCUCCUUUGGACGUGUCCAAACCAUCUGAACCUUGCUUCCCUCAACUUGUCAUCCACGGGGGCGACACCCACCUUCUCCCGAACAGACUAGCCUCACUCUGUAGCGCCAUAGUAAUAUCUUCAACUACCUCCUAACCUACAACCCUAAUGCUCGAUCUCCACAACUUCUUGUCUAAGGCCAUGUCCUCGAUAAUAUGAAGCCUCACCAUGUCUUAUCUGAUCACCUGUCUCUAAUACUUCUUAGGCCGUCCUCUACCUCUCCUGAUGCCCACAAAAUCUAGCCGCUCACACCUCCUCACUGGCGUAUCUGGGCUUCUCCUAUGGACGUGCUCAAACCAUCUGAACUUUGCUUCCCUCAACUUGUCAUCCAUGGGGGCGACACCCACCUUCUCCGGAACAACUUCAUUCCUAAUCUUAUCCAUCUUGGUGUGCCUGCACAUCCACCUCAACGUCCUCAUUUCAGUUACUUUCAUCUCUUUGAUAUGAGAGUUCUUGACUGGCCAACACUCAGCCCCAUACAACAUGGCCGGUCUAACCACCGCUCUAUAAAAUUUACAUUUGAGAAUCUAGGGCACUUUCUUGUCACACAAGACUCUAGAUGCUAACCUCCACUUCAUCCACGUAACUCCUAUACGAUGUGUGACAUCCUCGUCAAUCUCCCCGUCCCCCUGAAUAACCAACCCAAGGUACUUGAAACUACCCUUAUCAGGGAUGACUUGAGAAUCAAGCCUCACGUCCAUCUUGCUUCUGUCGGCUCAGCACUGAACUUGAACUCUAAGUACUCUGAUUUAGUCCUGCUCAACUUGAAACCCUUAAACUCAAGGGUUUGUCUCCAAACCUCUAGCCUCUCAUUGACGUUGCCACGCGUCUCAUCAAUCAACACUAUGUCAUUCGCAAAUAACAUACACUGUGGUACCUCCCCUUGAAUAUAGUGUGUCACUGCAUCCAUUACCAGGGCAAAAAGAAAUGGACUGAGCGCAGACCUUUGGUGUAACCCCAUAACAAUUGAAAAUUUCUCUGAUUCACCUUCCACUGUCCUGAGCCGAGUCUUAACUUCAUCAUACAUGUCCGUAAUCACCCUAAUGUAAGCUACCGACAUACCUUUUGCCUCGAGGCAUUUCUAUAGAACCUUUUUAGGAACCUUGUCAUAGGCUUUCUCCAGAUCAAUAAACACCAUGUGCAAAUCCUUCUUCCUCUCCCUAUAUUUUUCCACCAACCUCCGAAUAAGGUGGAUAGCUUUCGUGAUAGAACGCCUCAGUGUGAACCCGAAUUGGUUGUCUGAAAUAGAUACUGCCAUCCCCACCCUCAUUUGUACCACCUUCUCCUAAACUUUCAUGGUAUGACUUAGUAAUUUGAUACCCCUAUUGUUGUUACAACUCUGGAUAUCACCUUUGUUAUUGUAUAAUGGCACCACCGUACUCCAUAUCCACUCCUCCUGCAUCCUCUUUGUUCUAAAAAUAACAUUAAACAACCCAGUCAGCCAGUCUAAGCCUGUAUUCCCAUAGACCUCCAAAAUUCUACCGGGAUUUCGUCUGGUCCGGUAGCUCUUCCCCUGCUCAUGUUACGCAUAGCCUCUAUGACCUCGCCAACCUUGAUACGCCCGCAAUUCCAAAAGUUACAGUGACUCUCUGAAUGCCCCAAUUUACCUAGCACAAUAUUCCAGUCCCCUUCUUUAUUCAGAAGUUUAUGAAAGUAGGCCUGCCACCUUCGCUUAAUUUGAUCAUCCCAUGUCAACACCUUACCGUCCUCGUCUUUAAUGCACCUCACUUAGUCCAGAUCCCGAGCCUUCCUCUCUCUCACCUUGGCCAGCCUGAAUAACUUCUUCUCCCCACCUUUGGUCCCUAGGUCCUCAACAAAUGAGCAAAAGCCGCAUUCUUAGCCUCUGAAACCGCCAGCUCCGCCUCCUUCCUAGCUACCUUAUACCUCUUAUAGUUCACUCUCCUUUCCUCCUCGCUAGUGCUUCCUACUAGUUUCAGGCACGCCACCUUCUUCCCGUCCACUUUACUUUGGACCACUUCAUUCCACCACCAGUCACCUUUUUGACCACCUGAGUAGCCCGACGAGACCGCCAACACCUUCUCGUUGCCUUCCUUAUAUAAUCUGCCGUCGUCGAUCACAUAAUGCUCGCGUCUCCACUACUUUUCCAGGCUCCCAUAGCCGCUAACCUCUCUUCCAACUCGUGUGCUUUACCCUUAAUCAAGGCACCCCAUCUGAUUCUUGGGCGUCCUUGUACAAACCUUUUUCUUCUUCCUUAUCAUAAUACGAUGUCCAUCACCAAGAGCCUAUGCUGCGUCGCGAGGGUCUCGCCCGGGAUAACCUUGCAGUCCUUGCACACACCUCUGUCACAUCUUCUGAGGAGGAGAUAGUCAAUUUGCAUUUUUGCCACUAUACUUUGAAAAGUAACCAAAUGAUCCUCUCUUUUCGGAAAACUCGAGUUAUCAAUCCCACGCUCAAAUGCCUUAGCAAAAUCUAGGAGCGAGGUACCUCCUCCAUCCGAUCCCCAAAGCCAAAACUGCAAUGCACCUCACUAUAGCCACCUACAGACGAUCCAAUAUGCCCAUUGAAAUACCCUCCUAUAAAUAACCUCUUGGUAGGUGGAAUACUACGCAUAAUCUUAUCCAACCCGUCCCAGAAGUGCCUUUUAACCUCCUCAUCCAAGCCUACUUUCGACGCGCAAGCACUAAUGAAAUUUAGGGUACACUCACCAAAUACCAGUUUAAUAGUCGUUAGUCUAUAGUUCCCCCGCCUAAGUUCUACCAUAGACUCUCUAAGAUCCCUAGCUACCAAAAUACCCACUCCAUUCUUACUCCUCAGGACUCCAGAGUACCACAACUUAUACCCAUCCACAUCUCGCUCUCGAUCCUACCCGCCUAGUCUCUUGGACAUACGCUAUAUUAACUUCCUUUUCUGGAGGAUCCUAGCAACCUCAAUAGACUUACCCGUGAAUGUGCCUAUGUUCCAUGACCCAAUUCUCAACCUAUAGGCUCCCUUGUUCCCCAUACCUCCCUUGCCUCUUGUCGUGCCCCUGCCCUCCGCCCCAUCCCUCGCUCCUCCCGAGGACAUGACCUUACUCUAUCAUCCCAAACUGCCGCCACUAUACCUACAACAGGCUAAGGCAGAAUCACUAGCACACACUAUGCAACGAACCAAACUAGAAACAAACAAGUAGAAACUACAAGCACACUAGUAGUAUAAUUAUACUAAUGCAAACUAAAAAUGACUACAAUUUAGUUCUUACAAAAGAGGGGCUAAAAAGCGGGAGGUACCAACUCCCGAGAAUAGAACCUGAAAUUGUCUUGGUGUACUUGACGAAGUUGUGGCACCUGGCACGUUCGCGUCCAACUUCCUGUUGUCCCUUGCUGACACUUGCCCUGGCUGCUCUCCUAUGCUUGUGUGUGCACUUUUCGCUCAUCUCCAAUACCACCAAAUUUACCUGUAAGACAUGAAAAACAUCGGGGAACAAAAAUAAAGGGGGGCGGGGCGGCUGUCACCGCAACCACGUUAUGAUCAUUUCGUAUAAUGGGCCAAAAAAUCGCUUGGCUUUAGAGACCUCUGUUUAACGGGGUAUUUCACUAAGCUUAGAAAAUAAUUUUCAACUAUACUUAAAAUGCUAGCCAAAGGCCUAAAAAGCUAGGGUAGAUAAAACAGAGAUAUCAACGGUAAUAGGACAUGUCAAUUAGGAGAUAUAUACAAAUAAAACUACUAUGAGUAAACGCAAAGGAAGUGGAUUGUGUAGAGAUGUGUCGCAGUGAGAUCGAAGGGUUGUAAAUUGCAUUAUUUAAAUGGAAAUGUGAAAAAUCAAAGAUUGGAGAAUGGGUUUGUAAGAAAAAGGUAUGUAUCUUUUCUACUUCUAAAUCCAAGACAGAACUAAGAGAAUAAAGGAGAGAGAGAUCGAUUUGCUCAGAGAUAGAAGAAAGAGAAGAGCUGUUGAGUGGAGGAGAUCGUAUUGACCUGAUGGAGAGAAAUUCGAACAUUGGAAGAAGAGGUUGUGGUAGUGGAAGAGAUGGCAACAACAAUGUUGGGUGUAGUACCAGACGCCAAAAAAGAAAGGAUUGAGAAAGGAGAGGAGCAGGACUUACCUGAGACUCGCCGGCAAUUGAGUGGCGCCGGAGAUGAGCACCGGUAGUAGGUGAAAAUUAGGGACAUGUAGAGGUGAACGUUUUAGAGAGAGAAAGAACAUUUUAAAGAUAGCCGAGAGAGAAAACAAAUUUUUCGGAGCUGUCAAAGCCAUGAGCCAUAAUAAUUCUGUAAUUUUGAUUUGUCAUUUCGAUUUCAUACACAAAAAAUAAAAAAAAUAAGCAAAAAUUUAAAAUUAAAAUUAAAUAAACCCCCUCCCCCUUCCUCAAACCCACCCACUCAACAUUCUUAAAAGAAUAAUUCACUGCCAUGGCUCUUCCACCAUGAGUAGUACAACUUCCUUCACUCAUCUUUUAAAGAAAAUUAUCUAUCCACGAAAAAUACAUAAACAAAUAAUUAAGUCUUAUAAAUUUUGACUUAUUCCUCUUCCCGAUUUUGGAAGGCCUACAAAAAAAUUUAAAAGAUAAAAUCACCAAAAAAAAUAGAGUCAUGAGAAGGAAAUAUGACAUGAUGAAAGAAGAAAUACAAACCUGAGAGAAAAUCGGGGUGGGGGGAGG